AUGGACUACGCGUCCACUCCGGUUCCUCCACGCCGUCCACGCCCAGCUGACGACUGUUCGCUACGUUUUGCUAACC
rnacentral:sRNA from 1 species